UUCUGCGACGAAGAAAUGAGUCGUAAUACAAAAGGGCUAUACAAAAAGCUGGCGGAUUUGAAUGAAAUGGCCAACGGCCUUGCACCACCCCAUUUGUGAACAUGAAUGUGAACUGGAUGGGACAGUAGCGUUAGCGUGUAUUCGUCAUCCUUCGAAAUAGGUUAUGCUCUUUUGGCCACGAAAACUGCUAAAACAUUGCGAUAGAACAACAGUUUGGAGGCGUCCCACAGUCAAUUGGAUUUCGGAUGGUACUCUGGAUGGAUAAAAGCACAAAACCUGUGCGUGGAACCGCUGGCUCUGUUUGCAUGUUGGUCAACAGGUCGGCAAAGCUGUACAAGCUCAGCUGUACAAAUUUUCUUUCCUCGUUUGUGGACCGGGAGACCCUGCACUUUUGUAUCUGGAGGAAUUUCGGGCCUCCCAAAUGCGAAUACGAAUGUGACGCUGCCAGUGACCGGCAAGAAAAUCCGUGCCGUGAACUAUAACCCGAUCACUCAACAAAUUAAUGAGAUCGAAGGCAGAAGUCACAGCAUCAAGCAGGAGCCUCUUGGCCAUCUCCGGACAGCCAUUCGACAUUAUCAUAGCCCAUAGCAUAGACGCCAUUGAAAUAGACAGCGCGGAGGGUGUGGCAUCAGCGGCCCCAGUGAACAAGGACUGUGUAUCAGCCUCCUGUCGCCAUGACGGCCAAAGACUGCCCGGCGGAUCAAAAAAUGAAAUUUAUUAAUUAUGCAGCCAGGCUCCGGUUUUCAAUUUCGCAAAAGUUUUUCGAUUUCCCGUUUUUACUAUCCGCAAGACUUCUUCGUUUUUAAAACAACAAAAAUUUCUUCGAUGAAAUGAAAAGUAAACGGCUUUUAAU
rnacentral:sRNA from 1 species